rnacentral:rRNA from 1 species
UGAAGCGGGAAAAGCUCAAAUUUGAAAUCUGGCAGUCGUCUGGCUGUCCGAGUUGUAAUCUAGAGAAGUGUUACCCGCGUUGGACCGUGUAUAAGUCUCCUGGAAUGGAGCGUCGUAGAGGGUGAGAAUCCCGUCUUUGACACGGACUGCCAAGGCUUUUGUGGUGCGCUCUCAAAGAGUCGAGUUGUUUGGGAAUGCAGCUCAAAAUGGGUGGUAAAUGCCAUCUAAAGCUAAAUACAGGCGAGAGACCGAUAGCGAACAAGUACCGUGAGGGAAAGAUGAAAAGAACUUUGGAAAGAGAGUUAAACAGUACGUGAAAUUGCUGAAAGGGAAACGCUUGAAGUCAGUCACAUUGGCUAGGAAUCAACCUUGCUUUUGCUGGGUGUACUUUCUGGUCAAUGGGUCAGCAUCAAUUUUGACCACUGGAUAAAGUCAUCGGGAAUGUGGCAUCUUUGGAUGUGUUAUAGCCCUUUGUUGAAUACAGUGGUUGGGAUUGAGGAACUCAGCACGCCGAAAWGGCCGGGUUUCGACCACGUUCGUGCUUAGGAUGCUGGCAUAAUGGCUUUAAUCGACCCGUCUUGAAACACGGACCAAGGAGUCUAACAUGCCUGCGAGUGUUUGGGUGGAAAACCCGAGCGCGUAAUGAAAGUGAAAGUUGAGAUCCCUGUCGUGGGGAGCAUCGACGCCCGGACCAGACCUUUUGUGACGGAUCCGCGGUAGAGCAUGUGUGUUGGGACCCGAAAGAUGGUGAACUAUGCCUGAAUAGGGUGAAGCCAGAGGAAACUCUGGUGGAGGCUCGUAGCGAUUCUGACGUGCAAAUCGAUCGUCAAAUUUGGGUAUAGGGGCGAAAGACUAAUCGAACCAUCUAGUAG